UACGAAGGGGGGCUAGCGUUGCUCGGAAUGACUGGGCGUAAAGGGCGCGUAGGCGGAUGGCACAGUCAGAUGUGAAAUUCCCGGGCUUAACCUGGGGGCUGCAUUUGAUACGUGUUGUCUUGAGUUCGGAAGAGGGUCGUGGAAUUCCCAGUGUAGAGGUGAAAAUUCGUAGAUAUUGGGAAGAACACCGGUGGCGAAGGCGGCGACCUGGUCCGACACUGACGCUGAGGCGCGAAAGCGUGGGGAGCAAACAGG
rnacentral:rRNA from 1 species